GGGCGUAAGAGCUCGUAGGCGGUUUGUCGCGUCUGCCGUGAAAGUCCGGGGCUCAACUCCGGAUCUGCGGUGGGUACGGGCAGACUAGAGUGAUGUAGGGGAGACUGGAAUUCCUGGUGUAGCGGUGAAAUGCGCAGAUAUCAGGAGGAACACCGAUGGCGAAGGCAGGUCUCUGGGCAUUAACUGACGCUGAGGAGCGAAAGCAUGGGGAGCGAACAGGAUUAGAUACCCUGGUAGUCCAUGCCGUAAACGUUGGGCACUAGGUGUGGGGGACAUUCCACGUUUUCCGCGCCGUAGCUAACGCAUUAAGUGCCCCGCCUGGGGAGUACGGCCGCAAGGCUAAAACUCAAAGGAAUUGACGGGGGCCCGCACAAGCGGCGGAGCAUGCGGAUUAAUUCGAUGCAACGCGAAGAACCUUACCAAGGCUUGACAUGAACCGGUAAUACCUGGAGACAGGUGCCCCGCUUGCGGUCGGUUUACAGGUGGUGCAUGGUUGUCGUCAGCUCGUGUCGUGAGAUGUUGGGUUAAGUCCCGCAACGAGCGCAACCCUCGUUCUAUGUUGCCAGCACGUGAUGGUGGGGACUCAUAGGAGA
rnacentral:rRNA from 1 species